GCUAGUGACAGGACACACCUGGUGCCAAUCAUCAAUUAGUGACAGGACACACCUGCUGUCAAUCAUCAAUUAGUGACAGGACACACCUGCUGUCAAUCAUCAAUUAGUGACAGGACACACCUGCUGUCAUUUAGUGGUGUUUGAAAGCACAGUGAGGAACUUUCUUCUUGUCUCUCGGGCAGCAUGGCUCAGAUUAUAGAGCGGCCGUGCAGGAACUGGCGGGUUCCUGGUCCGGAUCCAGAUUCCGCCAUCCUAGUCACUGCCGCUGUGUCCUCGGGCCAGACCCUUGCUGCCAGCGGGGCUCACAGCUUCUCAGUAUUGUCCCAGAUGGACUGAAAGGACUUACACGAAGAACUCCACGGUGUAGGAGUAAUCGCUUGGGAACGGCUGCCAGGUCAGAAUGCUUUUAAAGUUUGUGGAUUUCCAGGUGACGUUCUGUGCUGUGGGAUAGAGGCCUGUGGAAUA